GCACCGAUAGUCCAGCCUGGUUAAUAUUUAGCCAAUAGAUACCGGCCUUCCAAAUCUUAGAAGAUAGCCGGCGAGGCGGGUUCAAAUCCCGCUCGGUGCA
rnacentral:tRNA from 1 species